rnacentral:lncRNA from 1 species
AAGUACUUAUAAUCUCAAAAGAUAUGAAAGAUGACAGGUCUAGUAAAAGCAGCUAAGUGAUCAGUGUUGGCUUACCAGCUUAUGAAAUUAUCUAUGAGAUUUUAUAGUCUGUCAAAGUCAAUACAUCCGGCUUGUUACUUAAUAAAGUCUCAACCUUUUAUUUUGUUUUCUUACUUUCACUUCUGAUGAUUUUUUUUUUUGUCAUCUACUUCUGAUGAUUAAACAAAGAACAUAAUAUUUUAUUUAUCGGCACGACACUCCCAAUGUUUUACGUGACUGCAUUUAUGCUAAAGACACAAAAACAAAAUAAUUUAAUGAUUAUCAUUUACGUAACAUAUGUAACUAUAACUUUUAUGAAUAUAUUUGAUUUAUCUUUACAAACAUCAAACAUAUUUUUACAUGUGAAAGUAUUAGUAAAAGCCCUAAAACUAGAUAUAUAAACAAUUGAUAUACUUUUAUUAUAUAUUAGAUGAGUAUUACUGGUACAACUGGUACAAAUUUGACAUUCAGAAAUUGAUAAAAUAAAUUUGGCAUUCUACAUGAGAAAACAAUCUCAUUCCCAAUUGGUAUGUAUUCAAAAAGUUUCUCUUAAUUUAUUUGAAAUUUUGGAAAAACAAUUAUUGCAUAAUUUCAUAAGUUUACAUGAUCUACCUUAUACUUUUAAGGUUUGUUAACUUAUUUGUCUACAUAAUUUUUGGAAAACAUACAUGAAAUGUAUUUAUACGAAAUUGAUGAUUUCAUUGUAACCGGGCAAUGUCAUGUAAACAUAAAGAAGUGGUACAACUAAGGUAAUUGUAUUUAUUAUGAGGUACAACUAAUAUUUUUAGAUUUUACUGCCAAAGUACAACUAUGCACAAACUGGUACAACUAAAAAACUAGUACAACUAUGUAUCGUCGGUAUAACUAGAAAACUGGUACAACUAUUUAUUGUUUUAUUUAGUAUUGUUUAAAUGUGUAUUACGUUUUAAACAAGUAUCAUGUUUUAAACAUUGUGGUUGAACACUGACCUCGAGUAGUUGUACUAGUUGUACCAUUCAUAUAUAUCAUUAUCACUUGUCAUUAUUUGUUUAUGCAAAAAUAUGGGCAUGCGUCAUGCUAAAGUUUAUUUUCUUAUAAAAUUAUAAUUUGACUGCCGGAAGCAUGGGCUUGGUCCGCUUCUACUCAGGGCCGGCUCUGUUAACAAUGAUAUAUAUAAUAGAAUACAUAUAUAUAGAUAUACUUAUUUUCACUGUAAUAUCAUACAAUAAGGAAUUAUAUACUCAUAUACCAUUUUAGGGUUUAGCUCGUUGUCCACGUGGGUUUGGUCCGCAAUGCAUUUAUCUUGUGAAGCUUGUACAACAGUACAAGAAGGGCAAUUCAUAAAAGCUACCAGAAUUAGUUAUCUCUCAGUUAUUUUCAAUGAUUUAUCGUCACACAAGAAGACAUUAAUGUUAUUUUGGCCACAAAACCAAGCCAAAAUGGGCUUCAUUCUCAAGGUGUUUCACAGUGUAAAAAUUAAGAAGUUCAGUACGUGCGUCUCAGCUGAAUGCACUCUAGAUUAGUUAGGUUUAUAAAGUUAUACAUCUUCCUGGUUUUAUAGUGGAACCGGGAUGUCCAAUCUGCGGGUUAACGGACAUAAUCGACACCUAUUGUUUGGUAGAAUAAGGAAACACUUGAAUUAAAAGUGCAGACAAAUACAAAUAUCGCAAUUUCAUUAGUCGGACAUCGUUGUUUAAUGAGUCGUCACUAUAUAAUAGAGUAAAAAUGUUCAAUAUAAGAAAAAAGGAAAAGAAUUCCCCCUUAAUAACAUAUUUAUUUGAGUUUCCUUUUUCAUGUUUUAUGAAGCAUAGUAUUUGCAGCCCUGCAGAUUAGGUAUAUCGAUGUCUAUAUUCGAGGAUUACGCUCAUUCUUGUGUUAUCCGAACUCCAGAACCUGCAGAAGAUAAACAUGAAAAUAAAACUCUUUAAAUAUAUUGAUUUUAAUGAACUUGUCUUUUUAUGUUUAAAAAUGACUUUUUAUUUUGGACAUUCUAUUAUAUAAAAAGAUAACAUAAGAAAAGUUAUUGUUAAAAAAAAAACAUAAGAAAAGUGUGAUCCUCGACGAUAGACAUCGUUAUACCUAGUCUGCAAGUAUAUAUGUAUACCUUGAUGAACACCAGCUAGCAUGGUGGAGGCCAAUCACACUCGUGAUAUUGGCACGGCUCAAUCAAACAAACCGAUCUCUACAACAAAAGAGUGUGGUUUUCUGAUUGAACCGCACCAAUAUCUCGUAUUGUCUUUAUGUUAGUAAGAUAUUCUUACGUUCUCGUCGAUCAGUUGCUUAUUAUCCCAUAGUCAACAUCAAAAAUAAAAAAUAAAAGAAUCAAAGAAGGCAAAUGACUGAAUAUAGAAUAGAAUUGUACGUGAAGAGAGAACAUGGACCAAAAUCUCAUAUGGACCAAAAGGUCAAAAAAUAAUCUACAGCAUCCAAAAUAAAUAUGUAUGGACCUCUAUAAUGUAAAUUACUUUAACACCCUUAAUGAAACUAAAUUAAAAUAAAAUUAAAAACACAAAACUAAAAAAAAUUGUGGUCGCCGGCGUAGGGUUUUUUUCUUCCUCAUUCUCUGCGUCUUUUCUUCUACUACUCAUCGUCUUCAACCAUGUUCCACUGCAUCGGCAUCAGCGAUGAAGCUUGUUAUCCACCAUGUUAAAUGGCGUCAAAACUCGUGACAUCCCUUGCUUUAUCUUGAGCUCUGAUGCCACAACCUCUUCUCAGCUUUAUUCUCCAACUCCUCCGCCGGUUUGGUGAGCCACAACCAAACCUGAUUGAGACAUUGAUCCCAGCGAUCCCAACAGCUUUGGUGCUCAGCAUGUAUUCGACUCCAUGACAUCUGCAUCGUGGAUGAAGCUCUUUAUCCACCGUGGCCUUCUCUCUUCCAAGACCAGACCUUGAAAGGUGCCUUCACCACACUACGAUUCACCACCGCAGCUUGUCCUCUCUAAGUUCUAUAUCCGUCACUUUUCCCUCAUCUCUCUUAUGCGACCUCCGGUGAUCCCCUGUGUCAAAGACGAGUAUAGCAUACUCGACAUGCAUGAAAAAUCUUGCUUUCAAGGCCUAAGUAUUGAGAAAUGGAAGCUGAAUCAACAGCUUUUUCAGGUCCUAUACAAAGACUGAGCUCUGUCAAAGAUACAUCUUCAAAGAGUGGGAUCAGUCAGAGUUUUGAUGUUAAGCCUCUCGAGAUAAACACUUCACUGAAAAUUCUUAUAAAAAUUAAAGUGGCCUUUUGCGUUUUUAACUUAUGAUGUGUAUUGAAAUCUCCAGCUAUUGGAUGACCUCUCUGUGGAAUGUAGGAAGUUUGGAGAUGUUUUGAAGAGUAAAGUACAUAUAAUUUCAAAAGAUAUGAAAGAUGCCAGGUCUAGUAAAAGCAGCUAAGUGAUCAGUGUUUGCUUACCAGCUUAUGAAAUUAUCUAUGAGAUUUUAUACUGUGUCAAAGUCAAUACAUCCGGCUUGUUACUUAAUAAAGUCUCAACCUUUUUUUUUGUUUUCUUACUUUCACUUCUGUUGAGUAAACAAAGAACACAAUAUUUUCUUUAUCUUCACGACACUCCCAAUGUUUACGUGACUGCAUUUAUGCUAAAGUACCUCUUCUCAGCUUUAUUCUCCAACUCCUCCGCCGGUUUGGUGAGCCACAACCAAACCUGAUUGAGACAUCGAUCCCAGCGAUCCCAACAGCUUCGGUGCUCAGCAUGUAUUCGACUCCAUGACAUCUGCAUCGUGGAUGAAGCUCUUUAUCCACCGUGGCCUUCUCUCUUCCAAGACCAGAGCUUGAAAUCUUCACUGAACCCAUGUGCCUUCACCACACUACGAUUCACCACCACAGCUUGUCCUCUCUAAGUUCUCUAUCCGUCACUUUUCCCUCAUCUCUCUUAUGUGACCUCUGGUGAUCCCUUGUGUCAAAGACGAGUAUAGCAUACUCGACAUGCAUGAAAAAUCUUGCUUUCAAGGCCUAAGUAUUGAGAAAUGGAAGCUGAAUCAACAGCUUUUUCAGGUCCUAUACCAAGACUGAGCUCUGUCAAAGAUACAUCUUCAAUAAGAGUGGGAUCAGUCAGAGUUUUGAUGUUAAGCCUCUCGAGAUAAACACUUCACUGAAAAUUCUUAUAAAAAUUAAAGUGGCCUUUUGCGUUUUUAACUUAUGAUGUGUAUUGAAAUCUGCAGCAAUUGGAUGGUCUCUCUGUGGAAUGUAGGAAGUUUAAAGAUGUUUUGGAGAGUAAAGUACUUAUAAUCUCAAAAGAUAUGAAAGAUGACAGGUCUAGUAAAAGCAGCUAAGUGAUCAGUGUUGGCUUACCAGCUUAUGAAAUUAUCUAUGAGAUUUUAUAGUCUGUCAAAGUCAAUACAUCCGGCUUGUUACUUAAUAAAGUCUCAACCUUUUAUUUUGUUUUCUUACUUUCACUUCUGAUGAUUUUUUUUUUUGUCAUCUACUUCUGAUGAUUAAACAAAGAACAUAAUAUUUUAUUUAUCGGCACGACACUC